UACGAGGGGGGCGAGCGUUGUUCGGAAUUAUUGGGCGUAAAGGGUGCGUAGGCGGUUUGGUAAGUCUGAUGUGAAAUCUAUGGGCUCAACUCAUAGUCUGCAUCGGAAACUGCCGGGCUUGAGUACGAGAGAGGUGAGUGGAAUUCCCAGUGUAGAGGUGAAAUUCGUAGAUAUUGGGAAGAACACCGGUGGCGAAGGCGGCUCACUGGCUCGUAACUGACGCUCAUGCACGACAGCGUGGGGAUCAAACAGG
rnacentral:rRNA from 1 species